GACGGAGGGGGCUAGCGUUGUUCGGAAUGACUGGGCGUAAAGAGCGCGCAGGCGGCUGGUCAAGUCCGGUGUGAAAGCUCCCGGCUUAACUGGGAAACGGCAUCGGAAACUGAUCGGCUUGAAGGUGGGAGAGGGUAGUGGAAUUCCCGGUGUAGUGGUGAAAUGCGUAGAUAUCGGGAGGAACACCAGUGGCGAAGGCGACUACCUGGCCCACUCUUGACGCUGAGGCGCGAAAGCUAGGGGAGCAAACGGG
rnacentral:rRNA from 1 species